rnacentral:lncRNA from 1 species
UGCCCUCCAACCCCCUCAUGCCAAGAGGUGCAAAGUCUAGAGAAAGUUUCCCCGGUGAGAGUUACUGGGAAAAUGACUCUCGGUCCUGGGUAAAACUUUCUUUCUUUGUCAACCUCAAGGGCAAGUUAGUUUAUGGCCAAGAAUAUACACGGUGCUUCAAAUGCAAAGGAAGACACUCUCUCUUCAAAUGGUUUACGGCUUAGAUGGGGAAGAAAUGUCUACACUCUAGAAAUGAAAUGAUGAAAGGACCUUACAGAGCAGGGGUACUCCUGAGCGAGCCAGGGGAUUCACAGAUAAAUCUCAUCUUUAAUCUGGAUGCACAGAAAUGUCUCAUGCAAAGGAAAGGAAGCCCCCUAUGCCACCCCAUGACAUCCAUAUAAAUCACAGGUUUUAUUUCUCUGCUGUGAGGGGGCACUGCAGAAUGGAGCAACGUUGCAGACUCUCAUUGGGUGAUGCUUCAUUACUUGGUGGAAAAUCCCCAGGGCCAAAACGUUAUUUAAAUGUGCUAUGAAAAUAAAUGUGAUUUAUAUAUGUGUCGUCUGCUGAGACGUUCUUCUCUGUUACUGCAGGUGAUGUCGUGCAUCAGGAUUAGCGCCUCAAUUUAUCGCCGGCUCAAGCUCCACACAUGCUCCAUGACAGGGUGUUGUCCGCAUCCCCGAAAGUUCCAGGAAGGAGACAGUGUUUGCUGAGUGGUGGGCUUUAGAUAUUCAGCAGUGUGGUUGGCUUUUAUGGGCUGAGAAUGUGUGUGAGUGUGAGCGCAUGCGUGCUCGUGCAUGCUGGUGUUGGGCCUGGGGCACUGUGUUGUUUGAAAGGCGCAGGGAACAGACACUUUGUACUCAGAUGCAUCAAUUUCCAACGGCAGCAGAAUGCUGUUUCUGGUUGAAAGAGAAAGAAGAAAGCGAAAUCUUCAUUUCAGCUUAGGAAUGGGGUCCACAUGUUUAGCUCAAAGUGAGUGGAAAUCUCUGAAAAGCAGGUUUGGGCUAAUGAAUGUCAGCAGGCCUUCAAUGUAAAUGGGAUUUGAUUAGCAGGAAGGAGUGUGGUUGGGAUGUUUCCAUUACCAAAGAAUGAUAUAGAGGGGCAAGGCUUGUCUUAAGGGGAUGAAGAAGGUCCCUCCAACUGCCCAAGUAGAUCCUUUUCCAGUAGGCUUUCAGACGCUCAGAAAACAUGGGGCUGACCUUGGCUUCUACCACAUGCCAUGGGGCACGAGACCAUUGUUCCAGACAAGUAAACCUGAGGUGGGGGGAGGUGGCAGAGCUGCGACUGGACACCACGAAUGAAAUAUUCUACAAUACAAAACAUGCCACAUCAGUCCUCAACAUUGCCUUGCCUCUAUGCCCCUCAUUUUAAAGAUGACAAAACUGAGGACCACAGAGGUCAAUAUCCCAGAGUCUGGAACUCUUCAUCCUUGGAGAAUCCAGGUCUUCUGCUUCUGGAAUCCUUCUUCUUUGGGCAUUCUUUUAACUGGUAGCAACUCAUGUCUUGCCAGUCUUGUCUCUGGCUCCCCUACUCUGUUUUUCUUCAAGAUUAAGGGUUUAAAUGAUAUCUAAAGUAGGACCUACCUAGAAAAAAGACCUACAUAAAAUUCCUUUUAGAUUGAUAUGGGGAAGCAAACAAAGGAACUUACAAAUAUACUCUCUUAGGCUAUUAUUUUAAAUAAGCAACGGUUGCUCAGGAGCACUAAUGGGAAACCGUAAAAAAACCUUUUUAUUUUGAAAUAAAUUCAAAUCCACAUAGAAAUUUCAAAAAUAGUGCCAAGAGUUCCUGUAAAUUUUUCUUCAGCUUCCCUCACUUUACCGUGUUUGCUUUAUCCUUCUCUCUCUCUCUCUCUCUGUGUGUGUGUGUGUGUGUGUGUGUGUGUGUGUGUGUGUUUUAUUUCUUUUCUGAAUGGCUUGGGAGUACACUGUACACAUUCUACCACUUUAUCCCUAAAUACAUCAGUACACAUUUCCUAAAUUCAUUUACACAACCACAGUACAGUUAUGAAAUCCAAGAAAUUAACAUUGCUAUAGUAUUAUUCUCUAAUUUAUAGACCUUGUUUGAACUUCAGUAAAUGUCCUACUAAUGUCCUUUCUAGCAAAAAAAAAAAAUUGUUUUCCACUUACUUUGGGAUUGUGUGAAACUCGUGUCUCAUUUAUGGGGACUUACGUGAGAGGGUUGAGUGUGCUGAAGUUUUAGGCUGUUAAACUAAAAAGUAAACAUUACCUUAAAAAUACGUGUAUGUUAUAUCUAUAGUAUCUUCACCUUGAUAAUUCUUCUUUGAUAAUUAUGAUUAAAUGUCAUAAUGGGAAAAUUCAAAACCUUUAUAUCUGUGAACCAAAAAAUAAAACCAGAUUCUGCAUUCCUCGUGCAUUUCAAUUUGGUGUAAGUCUCUUCAAUAUCUGCUUGCUUGCUAGCUGUGCCUUUCUACUUGCCUGCUCACAAGAUUUCUGAAAGUCUUGGUGAUGGUUUUGGCUCUGAAUCCAGACUGAGUAAAACAAAAGUCCAAAGCGUGUUUUGGCAAAGUGUGGUUAGCAAGGGUGAUUGGUCUACAAGUGCGUUUCAGUGAUG